rnacentral:rRNA from 1 species
UACAGAGGUCCCAAGCGUUGUUCGGAUUCACUGGGCGUAAAGGGUGCGUAGGUGGUGAGGUAAGUCGGAUGUGAAAGCUCGGAGCUCAACUCCGAAAUGGCAUUGGAAACUACCUUGCUCGAGGGUUGGAGGGGGGACUGGAAUACUUGGUGUAGCAGUGAAAUGCAUAGAUAUCAAGUGGAACACCAGUGGCGAAGGCGAGUCCCUGGACAACUCCUGACACUGAGGCACGAAAGCUAGGGGAGCAAACAGG